rnacentral:rRNA from 1 species
GCUGAUAGCCUUAAACGGUACAAGUGGCUUUCUACCGUCAUAGCCUAUCAUUUGUACAGAUUUUCGAAUCGUGCAAAGCUGUGUGCCUACAUAUGUUAACCUCUUGUGAACCGACUCGUCUCUGGCGUGGAGGGCAGUUGAGAAACUGCUUGUCAGCAUCCAAAUGUAAAUUUGCAGGUGCCGUGGACAACCCGUCAACCCUUUACAACAUAUACAACUAAACUUACUGCCUGACAUUACUUGUAUCAAUUAAUACAAAACAACUUUUGGCAACGGAUCUCUUGGCUCUCGCAACGAUGAAGAACGCAGCGAAAUGCGAUAAGUAGUGUGAAUUGCAGAAUUCAGUGAAUCAUCGAAUCUUUGAACGCACAUUGCGCUUCCUGGUAUUCCGGGGAGCAUGCUCGUUUCAGAAUCAUUUAAAACUCACAAGCCUUUACGAGGGGGAUCCAAGCAUAUUGGAUGCCACUCGCAUUGGUGCGUGGAUAUGAGUGCAUUGGCUGGAUUUACUUCCACAUACCCAAUCGCUUUUGAAUGAUUUUGUACGCAACCCUCGUCUUCUUUUUUGGGCUGCCAACAGUGCGACAGUUUUAAACAGUUCAUUUUUGGUGGUUCCCGGAAGUACGGCGUGGCGUGUAUUUCU